rnacentral:rRNA from 1 species
UACGAGGGGGGCAAGCGUUGUUCGGAAUUAUUGGGCGUAAAGGGUGCGUAGGCGGUUUUGUAAGUCUUGUGUGAAAUCUUCAGGCUCAACUUGAAGACUGCACGAGAAACUGCAGGGCUUGAGUGUGGGAGAGGUGAGUGGAAUUCCUGGUGUAGCAGUGAAAUGCGUAGAUAUCAGGAGGAACACCUGUGGCGAAAGCGGCUCACUGGACCACAACUGACGCUGAUGCACGAAAGCUAGGGGAGCAAACAGG